AGUCACUGACAUUAGAUACCCGGGUAGUCCAGGGUGUAAACGCCGCAGACUUGGUGUUGGAAGCCCUUUGGGGGCAUUCAGUGCCGGAGAGAAGUUGUUAAGUCUGCUACUUGGGGAGUACGUCCGCAAGGAUGAAACUUAAAGGAAUUGGCGGGGGAGCACCGCAACGGGAGGAGCGUGCGGUUUAAUUGGAUUCAACACCGUAAACUCACCAGGGAAGACUGUUACAUGAAGGCCGAGAUGAAGACUCUGCUAGAUUUUCAG
rnacentral:rRNA from 1 species